GAGUUCAUGCCCUCACGGGUAGAUCUCCCACCCUUGAAUAUUAUACCUUCGUUGCUUUGGCAGGCCGUGGAAACACCAUGGGCUCCGGCUGAUGCGUGCCUGCCAGAGGAAACAAAACUCUGUUUUUAGUGAUGUCUGAGUACGAUAUAAUCGUUUACAACUUUUAACAAUGGAUCUCUUGGCUCU
rnacentral:misc_RNA from 1 species